GAAAUGCGAUAAGUAAUGUGAAUUGCAGAAUUCAGUGAAUCAUCGAAUCUUUGAACGCACCUUGCGCUCCUUGGUAUUCCGAGGAGCAUGCCUGUUUGAGUGUCAUUAAAUUCUCAACCUUGUCAGCUUUUGCUGAUAGUGGCUUGGAUGUGGGGGUUGCUGGCCUGGUCAGCUCCCCUUAAAUGCAUUAGCUGGUGCCCCGUGUGGACUUGUCUAUUGGUGUGAUAAUUAUCUACGCCGUGGAUGGUCUGCAAUCAUCACCGCUUCUAACCGUCUCGGGACAAUACAUGACAAUUUGACCUCAAAUCAGGUAGGACUACCCGCUGAACUUAA
rnacentral:misc_RNA from 1 species